CCGUCAGUCCGGCUCAGACCAACUCUAACCGCACUCCUCCACAACCAGCAGACGACGACGGGCAGAAGAGCGGCGAUGGAAGGCUCCGGCGGACCUCGCACUGAAGCUGGCGGACGACGACGUGUUUUUCCAUCCAAAAUGAACGACUGUCCUCCAUCGCCUGGAUAACAAAGAACACGGACCACGGUCAACAGGACGUGCAAUGAUGCCAUGAGCAGCUCUCAGCCGUAGAGGAGCUGGACACCGUCUGCAGAUGUCGGGCGCACCAGAUGGGCCACGAGACGAGACCAGGGUGAGCUGACGAAGGUAGAACUGCGACAAGUCUGAACUCUUGAUGCAGUACAUACCACACAAAAGGCUAUCAUCACAGAGCCAGCCCCAAAUGCCCAAAUAUGACUAAAGUGUCCCGUCCACUCAAAUCCAUGUGGAAUCUCAAGCUUUGAUGCAGUAAAUUCCAACCAGUUUCAUAAGAGUGGCUGACUAAUAUAAGCCCAACACUCACAUAACACCCUCUUCUGGACACAACAGGCAUAUGAUCCAAAGUACUAGAGGCUCUCUAGCUUCUUUCCCAUAACAGUGGACACUAUACAAGACUAGAGCGGUAUGAAAGAUUUCGAGAGAUCCGUGCCAUGUGUUGAGCAAGAGUGUUGCACUUCGGGCUCCAGGGGGUGAUCAAGGGCCUAUUACAGAAGAAAAACAAAUCCAGUCGACGAAAUAGGUGACAUCGAGGAUGCCUCUUAGGAAAGCAUUCGACGCAGUUUCAGUACAUUUUACUGGACCACAACUGCCAUGGUGGCAGUUGUCAAAUCCCCUA